GCCGCGGUGGUGGAAUUGGUAGACACGCCAGAUUUAGGAUCUGGUAUCCUUUGGAUGUGAAGGUUCGAGCCCUUUCCGCGGUACCA
rnacentral:tRNA from 1 species